AGAGUUUGAUCCUGGCUCAGGAUGAACGCUGGCGGCGUGCUUAACACAUGCAAGUCGAACGGUGAACACGGAGCUUGCUCUGUGGGAUCAGUGGCGAACGGGUGAGUAACACGUGAGCAACCUGCCCCUGACUCUGGGAUAAGCGCUGGAAACGGCGUCUAAUACUGGAUAUGUGACGUGACCGCAUGGUCUGCGUCUGGAAAGAAUUUCGGUUGGGGAUGGGCUCGCGGCCUAUCAGCUUGUUGGUGAGGUAAUGGCUCACCAAGGCGUCGACGGGUAGCCGGCCUGAGAGGGUGACCGGCCACACUGGGACUGAGACACGGCCCAGACUCCUACGGGAGGCAGCAGUGGGGAAUAUUGCACAAUGGGCGCAAGCCUGAUGCAGCAACGCCGCGUGAGGGACGACGGCCUUCGGGUUGUAAACCUCUUUUAGCAGGGAAGAAGCGAAAGUGACGGUACCUGCAGAAAAAGCGCCGGCUAACUACGUGCCAGCAGCCGCGGUAAUACGUAGGGCGCAAGCGUUAUCCGGAAUUAUUGGGCGUAAAGAGCUCGUAGGCGGUUUGUCGCGUCUGCUGUGAAAUCCGGAGGCUCAACCUCCGGCCUGCAGUGGGUACGGGCAGACUAGAGUGCGGUAGGGGAGAUUGGAAUUCCUGGUGUAGCGGUGGAAUGCGCAGAUAUCAGGAGGAACACCGAUGGCGAAGGCAGAUCUCUGGGCCGUAACUGACGCUGAGGAGCGAAAGGGUGGGGAGCAAACAGGAUUAGAUACCCUGGUAGUCCAA
rnacentral:rRNA from 1 species